GGCCCCUUAGCUCAAUGGUUAGAGCAAACGACUCAUAAUCGUUAGGCUGCUGGUUCAAAUCCAGCAGGGGCCA
rnacentral:tRNA from 1 species